rnacentral:rRNA from 1 species
UGCCCUAGUAACGGCGAGUGAAGCGGCAACAGCUCAAAUUUGAAAUCUGGCCUCGGCCCGAGUUGUAAUUUGCAGAGGAUGCUUCUGGCGCGGUGCCUUCCGAGUUCCCUGGAACGGGACGCCACAGAGGGUGAGAGCCCCGUAUGGUCGGACACCAAGCCUGUGUGAAGCUCCUUCGACGAGUCGAGUAGUUUGGGAAUGCUGCUCUAAAUGGGAGGUAAAUCUCUUCUAAAGCUAAAUACCGGCCAGAGACCGAUAGCGCACAAGUAGAGUGAUCGAAAGAUGAAAAGCACCUUGAAAAGGGGGUUAAAUAGUACGUGAAAUUGUUGAAAGGGAAGCACUUAUGACCAGACUUGGGCCGGGCGGCUCAUCAGGGGUUCUCCCCUGUGCACUCCGCCCGGCACAGGCCAGCAUCGGUUCUCGUGGGGGGAUAAGACCGUCAGGAACGUAGCACCCUCCGGGGUGUGUUAUAGCCUGGCGGACGAUACCCCCGUGGGGACCGAGGUCCGCGCAUUGCAAGGAUGCUGGCGUAAUGGUCAUCAGUGACCCGUCUUGAAACACGGACCAAGGAGUCGUCCAUUAGAGCGAGCGUUUGGGUGUAAAACCCGCACGCGUAAUGAAAGUGAACGCAGGUGAGAGCUUCGGCGCAUCAUCGACCGAUCCUGAUGUUCUCGGAAGGAUUUGAGUAAGAGUUUUAACGGACGGACCCGAAAGACAGUGAACUAUGCUUGUAUAGGGUGAAGCCAGAGGAAACUCUGGUGGAGGCUCGCAGCGGUUCUGACGUGCAAAUCGAUCGUCAAAUAUGAGCAUGGGGGCGAAAGACUAAUCGAAC